rnacentral:lncRNA from 1 species
UAUUAAAAUGAUCACAAAUAUCUCUCAAAUACAUCUUAAUUCAAUCCUAUUGGACUGCAUUCAAACUUUAUGCCAAAAAUAAUUAAAUAUUAAAUCCUAAAAAAAUCUUAAUAAAUCCUAAUAAAUCCUAAAUCCUAAAUCCUAAAUCAAACUCUAAUAAAACCCUAAACCAAAUUCUAUCCAAAUCCUAAAUCAAAUCCUAAACCAAAUCCUAAUUAAAUUCUAAAUCAAAUUCUAUCCAAACUCUAAACCAAAUCCUAACCAAAUCCUAAAUCCUAAAUCAAACUCUAAACAAACCUUAAACUAAAUCCCAACCAAACCCUAAACCAAAUCCUAAAUCCUAAAUGAAAUCCUAACCAAAUCCUAAAUCCUAAAAAAAUCCUAAACCAAACCCUGGUAAUUUCUACAACACAAUUAAACCUCAAUAACUA